rnacentral:rRNA from 1 species
GCCUCGGCGGGCUCGCCCGCCAGAGGAUACAUCAAAACUCCUGUUUUAAACGNNGUUGUCUGAGCUACAAGCAACGAAUCAAAACUUUCAACAACGGAUCUCUUGGUUCUGGCAUCGAUGAAGAACGCAGCGAAAUGCGAUAAGUAGUGUGAAUUGCAGAAUUCAGUGAAUCAUCGAAUCUUUGAACGCACAUUGCGCCCCUUGGUAUCCCGAGGGGCAUGCCUGUUCGAGCGUCAUUUCACCACUCAAGCCUGGCUUGGUGUUGGGUGACGUCCAUUUUAAGGACGCGCCUCGAAACGCUCGGCGGCGUGGCACCGGCUUUAAGCGUAGCAGANUCUUUUCCGCUUCGAAAGUCGGGGCCCCGUCUGCCGGAAGACCCAUUCGCAAGGUUGACCUCGGAUCANGCAG